ensembl:snRNA U1 U1 spliceosomal RNA
AUGCUUCACCUGGCAGGGGAGAUACCACGAUCACAAAGCCACUUUCCCAGGGCAAGGCUUAUCCAUGCCACUCCAGAAGUGUUGAGCCUUGUGAUUUACCCAAAUGUGGAAAACUUGACUGCAUAAUUUGUGCUAGUGGUGAUUCAGGAUCCCACAGCUCUGCUCAGGGCUGAACACAGACACCAU